rnacentral:rRNA from 1 species
UACGGAGGAUCCGAGCGUUAUCCGGAUUUAUUGGGUUUAAAGGGUGCGCAGGCGGGAGAUUAAGUCGGCGGUGAAAUUUUGCAGCUCAACUGUAAAAGUGCCUUCGAAACUGGUUUCCUUGAGUGUAGAUGAAGUAGGCGGAAUUUGUGGUGUAGCGGUGAAAUGCAUAGAUAUCACGAGGAACUCCGAUUGCGCAGGCAGCUUACUAAACUACUACUGACGCUCAGGCACGAAGGCGUGGGGAUCAAACAGGAUUAGAUACCCCCGUAGUCCCU